rnacentral:rRNA from 1 species
GGGGAAUAUUGCACAAUGGGCGCAAGCCUGAUGCAGCCAUGCCGCGUGUGUGAAGAAGGCCUUCGGGUUGUAAAGCACUUUCAGCGAGGAGGAAGGGUAGUGUGUUAAUAGCACAUUGCAUUGACGUUACUCGCAGAAGAAGCACCGGCUAACUCCGUGCCAGCAGCCGCGGUAAUACGGAGGGUGCAAGCGUUAAUCGGAAUUACUGGGCGUAAAGCGCACGCAGGCGGUUUGUUAAGUCAGAUGUGAAAUCCCCGCGCUUAACGUGGGAACUGCAUUUGAAACUG